rnacentral:rRNA from 1 species
CAUACAGGUGCUGCAUUGGCUGUCGUCAGCUCGUGUCGUGAGAUGUUGGGUUAAGUCCCGUAACGAGCGUCAACCCUUUUCCUAUUGCCAGCACUUUGGGUGGGAACUUUAAGGAUACCGCCAGUGACAAACUGGAGGAAGGCGGGGACGACGUCAAGUCAUCAUGGCCCUUACGACCAGGGCUACACACGUGCUACAAUGGUCGGUACAAAGGGUUGCUACCUAGCGAUAGGAUGCUAAUCUCAAAAAGCCGAUCGUAGUCCGGAUUGGAGUCUGCAACUCGACUCCAUGAAGUCGGAAUCGCUAGUAAUCGCGGAUCAGAAUGCCGCGGUGAAUACGUUCCCGGGCCUU